UGCUCAUAUUUAAUAUUCAAAGAUCAUUUUUCGGAGGCGAUAUUUUAUUAUUUCUU
rnacentral:tRNA from 1 species